AGUAUUACCGAUAGCUGUUCGCUUCACAAAGCAAUGACCUUGAUCAUUAUUAUCGUUAUUCUUUUUACCAAUAUCACUCAGAAACCAGCGGCUCCUAGUGGGAAGCGUUGUGACAAACUCCACUCUUGGGGGAUACAGUCAUCACCUCCAUUUGGGGUCCACGAGUUGGCAGAGGAAAACUUGCAAACAAAUGGAAUGUUCUUGAGAUUUUAUUUCUUAGAGCCCAGCUGUAAACUAAUGUAUCGAGCAAGGCUUCUCAAAACGCAAAAAAUAUCUGACAUCUGGAUUCUUAAAAGUGUCAGAUAUCAAGACGCUAAAGCUUCCAACAUGAUUGUUAAGUUGGCCAGGUGUGAAUUAAGUCUAAGAAAUAUGACAGAUCCUGGUCACCAUGUAAAAAUGCAGGGUGACUGUGCCCCAGGCUUCCACCCCAGGUGGGUGGAAAAUCUGGCAGGAAGGGGUGUUCUGUGCGUGGACCAGAGGCCUUGGAAUGAGCCGACGUGGUUCCAUUUCCAUGAAUGAAGGGACAUCUGCACGGAGGUUCCUACUAGCUCGUACAAAGUGGUCUGUGUCCCAGCAAACCCCAUGUCCGUGUGUGUGUUUUACAGUCGGGGAACUGAGGGCAGAGAGGCGAGCUCACGUGCGUGAGUGUAGGCGUGGCCCAGGACGAGAGCCUGUGUUUGGAGGACCUUUUCAUUACAACUCUUAAACUGCCCAAGCUUGUCGCCGUCCAUGUAAAAUCGUCCUCAAUGUCAUUGUAAGUUUUGGGGCCAGGGGAUGAAACGAGUCGGGAAGGUAAGACGGGACAUGUGGGUGGAAUACCACGUGGGCCAUGUUGCUUGCACUUUGACGGCCGAGCCAGGGGCUGGGUGAGCGCCAAGGCGCCGGGGGUCCCCCCCACCCGCCAUCCGCUCCAGCGGGCCUGGCCGUGUGUCUCUCCCCCGAGAGACACUCGCUCCUGCUGCGGGGGGGGGGGGGGGCACAGGCUGCCGCGGCAACGUGUUGAGGCUCAGACAGGUGCAGGCACUGUGUUUAGGGAGCUCGGAAACGUCCCCAGUCUCAGGGUCGGAAGGGACGCGGGGCCUCGGGCCCCCCAUUCAUCCCCUGCUGUAGGAGGGCCCUCCUCACUGCUCCAGACGACACUGCCUCUCUGAACGGCUGGCAUGACCCGUAACAGUGAUUUUAGGGAGCAAGCGAACCAAAUCCUGUUUUCUUGACAUUCGCUCUCCCACUGCACCAGAGGGUUCCACCACCCACGGACUCUGGUCCGGAAACGUCUCUUCCACGGCUCCACGGCCGGAUGCAGCACGGGGGAGAAAAGCAGUGGCCGUCGUUGGAGACCCCCUGCCAGGCUAUCCUCAAAAUGCUCUAGUCCUCGGCCAUUUCAGCCCAAAUGCUCGCAAGUUUUGACAACGUCUCCCGGCCUAUGAGCCGUGAGGUGCCUUCGCUGGGACUCAUCUGCUCGGGCCUGCCAAUUUGAGGAGCCAAGUGCUAACGGGAGACAUUCCGCACGGUUCUCGGCCCAGAAAGUAUCUGUUUUCACUGCAGCCAUCAAGUCCUCAAAAUCAAGAGAAUCCAGCACUGUGACGGGAGGCGGGCAUUUUUGUCCGAGGGCCUUCGCGCGACCUUCCCCGCACAGAACGACCACAGAAACACCGUGUGUCUUCACCCCAGGGCUGCUACCAGACUUCGGUGAGCUGGAAAAGCUGUACGUCAUGGGCGGAGCCCCGAAUAAGGAGGAUCGAAUCCACACAAGGCGCUUGAUCUAAAUAUUUACAAGGAAUUCUGAUCAGAUGCUCACUGUCCAAAUUAAUAUUAUUUCAUCUGAAAAAACAAGAGUGUUUUCAUCCAAAAUCAGCUGUUGUUUGGAGUCCAAUCAGCGUACCAUGCGGCAAAACACAACAGAGGAGCACGAUGUGCGGUGACAGGACGGGGCAUGGCUGGAAAUUAAGCAGAUUCUCUGAACAACCGAACCUAAUGAAUCCUGCAAAGGCUGAGCUGGUGCAGGGCACUAAAGACACAGGAACGAGUGUGAAAUGUGACGUCACGUCUCUCCAAGAGACCCUGGGUCCUCAAAGGAGGGUCACACGCCUCCCAGUAAAAAGUUUUCAAGGCCCGCCCAUCUCCCCAGCUUCCCUACGCCUCUUUUCCUGCGAGGUUUCCUGGCACAAACCUGGAUCCCCCAGCACAGAGCCCGGGCGUUUCCAGGGACAUUCUCAGGAAAAGCUGCCGUAUGAUGAAGUAACGCUCGUGUCUCCCGGGCAUCCUUGGGCCCAGAGUUUACUUUGACAUCACGCGGGCCUGUUUCAGGAAGAAGAAAGAGCCUCUGUAAGAUAGGAAGACAAUAGGCACCGAGGAAGAAGGGGGUUUCGCAAAAGCCUGUGAUGUUAAGCGCAGGGCCCUGACCUUGCCCUGCAAACCUGGGAGGGAGGGGGCUUGCUUUUCUGUCGCAUGUGGGCUCUAUCCCGCUGCCCUCGCAGGACCCUCGCCGCGUCCAGACCGAGAGGCCCGAGUGCGGGUCUCAGGAGCCCCGAACGCUGCGGCGGGACCCGGGCAGGUCCUGGUGGGAAGGGGGUCUGAGGUGCUUUGUGAGGACAAAGGAGAGGGUCUGUCGGGUUCAAGGGAGGACUUUGAGGGUUCAGGCUUAAUCUUGAAUGUGAACCAGCUCAGAGGUAGGAGCAGGAAGAGAGGAAUCUGGGGAGGAAACUUCAAGGCAGAAGGUGCAUGGAAGGGCCCCGAGCUUUCGGAGCAUGCCGGGCCCGGGGCCAGGGGAGGGCGGGGCUGGGAUUACAUCCCCACACAGGUGGGGUCAGACCAGCACGGGCCCCUCGUCCACACUGACGGUGAUGCUUGCACCUGGAAAUAAACCCGAUGAAAGACUGAUUUUCUUCCUGGCCGCACCCUCCCCGCCCCUCACCCCUGCAGCGGUAACCAGCGACCCCGACGGCUUAGCCUGCGGGGACCCUGCUUCUCUGUUUCUCACACGCAGGCAGGCUCGCCCUGCGGCCGCACAAUCAUACGGCCCGGCUUGUGUGCAUCCGACUUCAACCCCCAGACCCUUUCUCGUCCACACGCCGUUUGGGGGCCCGCGCUCUGGGCGCCCCUGCUGGGUCCCCAGACGGGCUUCAGGCUGCACUUCCACUCGUCGCCACCGGAGGCACUGCAUCGGCCACGGGUGCCACGAGGGGGUGUGACCUGUGGCCUGCCUGAGUCAGCCAGCGCGUGGGGCACCGACGCCUCGCGCUUGGGCUGCAACUGCCUCCGUGGCCACGCCGCGCGGGAGCUGUGCUGGCUGCCUCUAGGCGUCAAGAUUCUGCCUGGACGCCAGCUGCGGCUGUCACUUCCUGGCCGAGCGUCACUGAGCAGCUUUCCUCCUCCACCCCGUCCCCCGCUCCUCGGCCGCUCCCAAUGAGAACACACAGAAAGUGCUUAGUGGUGAACCCGCUCCGGGCACAAAGGGGCGAAUGUUUGCUGUUGACUGUCGUUGACGUAAUGGGAAUGUGGUCCCUGUCCCCCAGGAGCCGCGACCAGGAGGAAGCCUGCGGUUAAAAAGAAAAAUGCCGUGCGGUCUGAUGAGUCAGCUGAAGACCAGAAAGAGGAGCAGAGGCCCGGAGGCCGGGUGGGCCGGGAGGGGUGGGCUAGGCACAGGGCACUUGCACAGGCCUGCCCUCCGCCCCCAUCACAGCCGGGGAGGGGGCAGCGGUCGGGGCCGGGUGACCGGAGUGUCCUCUCCAGGUCUCACUGCACACCUGCUGUGGGGCGUGCACCCCAAGGCCGUAAAAGGCCUAGAUGCCAUUGCAACGUUGGGGGCUUUCGUCCCGUUGGGGGCGGUGAGGGCUGCAGGGACCCUCUCCGACCGACACGUCUUCUCUUGCUCGUGUUGCUAAGACAUCAAAGAACAAGGAAGGAGAAAGGGGAAAACAAAACACAAGGUGGGCAAGGGUCGUGGGUCUGGGCACGCGCUGGUCACCGACGGGAGCCGGGGACCUCGGGAGUCAGAGCGCGCUCCGGAGAGCGGGGGCUUUGCUCUUGCCUCCUGCUCCGCACUUGUCUGUGGCUCCCGCCGGACACCAGGCCCAGUCUUGCUCCUUCCCUGCUUGCUGCCAGCCGCGGGCCGAGUCCUGCCGGAACACAGUGGACGUCAAGGACCGGCGUCCUGGGGACCCGCUUAUGCCGGUGACCUUGCUGGCUCGUUACCGUUCUUUCCGACGGCAGAGGUACCCUCACGUGACCGUGACAUCUGAAGCGGGGCUACAGAAUAAGUAGACCGGAUGUCUGUAGACCCAUUUUACAGAUUGGGAAAGUGAGAUUGAAAGACACAUAGUCUCGCGUGUUCUUCCCACUGAGAAAACGACACAGCCAGCACUCGGCUGAUGCUUGACUUGAAUUCCGUGGUUUCCCAUGAUUCCCCACUUAAAAUAAUUCUGCAAAGCAUCAUGUGCUACUUGGCAUUUCGUUGUAUUAAACGCAGAUCUGGCUGCUAUCGUGGGGUAGACGCGUGUCAACUAGAGAUCUAUCAGAAGCUCCCAUUAUCUAGAAAUAAUGAGACAUUUCCAUCAAGCCGUAUUUGAGGCUGCCCUCUACUUGUAGGAGAAAGACACACAUCAUGUGAUCACGGAUGUAUCUUGAGUCCCACAUCAGUCCGGUCCAGUGUCAGCUUCUGGGGUUAGGCGAACCCCGUUCUGCACUUCAGUGGCGGCCCCGGAGCAGAGACGGUCAAAACACAGGAGCAAAUCCACGCAGGACGCGCUGUCAGUAGAUGCGCAGCUCCGUUGGCCCACAGCUAUCGGUGCGCCGGGGAGAGACGGUUUUUAAGCAAAAAUGUGCAAAGUGAUGAUUCCACCGUGCCUUUAGUUCCUGUAAAAUGGGCCCGUCUGGGCUCAUUCAGACUUCAAGAUGAGCAAAGGUUGUCUGGAAAGUGUUUCCUUUCCCACAAUGUCAGAAAAUAAGACAGAGCUUGGGAUAACAUGGGCCCACAUGUAAACUCUUGAGCUUUGGUUAUUUAAAAAUAACGAUCCUUAAAUACA